CAUUUAGUCGCACAUAAUUGAUUUAAUGAUUUUUUAGUUAUACAUUUUUGACUUUUUUCGAUUUGACUAUUCAACACAUCUUUUCGCUUUGGAAGAUGAAUAAGAAAUAGCAAGGUUUAAAACAUGAACAGCACAAUGAACAAACGUCGCAAGAGGAUAACUUUGGUGAAUAAGAGAUUGAGCUCCGUUAAAUUGACCAGACAUAGAAGCACAUCCAUCGUAACACUGUCCUCUAAGUAGUAUCUGUUGUAGGCACAAACUGAAGAAUUCUUCCUUGAUAAUCAUAUUUUCAACAUCUAAAUAUCGAACACACAAAGUUACUUGUUCGCUUCCACCAAUGUCGGCCGUUUCAUCAGCAAGUAUUUUGAAACAUCUUUGGGCAUUUAUGUUUGUUACGAUUUUAUUUAAAAUAAUUUUAUUACAGGAUUCAAUUAUUUCAUUUUGAAGUGUUUCACUUGUAUAUUUUAUUGUUUCUUCAGCUUCCAAAAAUGAUUUUAAACGGUCAUCUCCUUGGGCUCUGUAUCUUAAUAUUUCUCUAAAAUUUCCUUGAUUUUCUUGGAUAAUUUGUCAUUUUAUUGAUAUAUAUUGAAGUUACAAAGAUAUCCGUUAUUGUCAAAAAAAAAAAUAAUAAUAAUAAUAACAUUAAAAAUGCAAAUAAUAAUUAAACCUAUAAGGUAGUUAAACCCUAAAGUUAUUUUCGAUUUGUUAAAG